GCUUGUUCACAAAUGUCAUAACGCUGGAGGGGGUAGGUGGGUGUCCUUCAUGGUGUUACAGCUUGAAAUCUCUACAAGCCCUUUCGAUGAGUGUUACGUAUGUUUGUCUGCGGGCAACGGUUAAAUCCCAAUCCUUUCUGAUUUGCUAGAAGUUGUACAAAACCAUCAAAUUACAAAAAGUACUCAUAAAUUGGUCAGAAAUUACUCAUCCCAAGCUUCCCGUUAUUUGCGCGACAUUUUUAGUAAGUUUGAAAAUUAAUCUCUAAAUUGUAAUAAUUUUAUGAUACUUCAUUCUUUAUCUGAUAUUUUCCAAACCUAAAUCCAAAUUGAAAUAUUUUUUAUUUCGAUUUUAAAUGCCAUAAUCAAUCGUCAUGUUCUUUACGUAAUUAUAAACAGUUACGGCAAGCAUAGAACAAUUCAAAUGGUUCCCAUUGUAGAUGCGCUGGUUGAGACAAUAAGAAAAUCGUUUGUUUCACAUAACAAUUGAUUAUGGCAUUGAAAAUCGAAAAAUGUCAGGGGGUGCGACACUGUAAUCUUUUUGGAAUCAAUUUAAAAGAUUCAAAAAGAUUUGAAAAGAUUCAAGGUGAUUUGGCGGGAUUAAUAGAAAAAAGGACGCACGUCAGUUAUAUCGGAAUAACUGAAUCAUUUCGUUCAGUGUUUGUUUUGAUCUGACUGCUGAUCGUGCAUGGGAACAAAAAGUGACUCUUCACGAAAUCGAGUACGAAAAUUUCGUAAUUUAAUGAAAGUUGCUGGAAAGAGUGGCGUCCGCGUUUCCAUCCGGCAUCGCCGUCAUCCCCCCGAGGUGCAUAUGAAAACUGUAAAAAGUGGACGCAAUCAUCCCGCAAUGCAUCCGGUGUCCAAUGACUGUUAACGGCCGCUCAUCGCCGGAACUUGUGCCAAAGUUACAUCGCGUUAGUAAGGAUCGUCCAUCGCUACCUGAGGAAUCGCGAUGAUUCCUUCGUCACCACCAGUCGAGCGGGUCCGAUAUUCGCGAACUUCCGAAUCGGAGAAAGCUCCCACGCCGAAGCCACGAAGCAUUCUGGAGUAUCGACCUGUGAAGGUACGUCAGCAAAAGCCACCAACCACCACCCACCAAGAAACACAAAGAUUGUGCCGAAAAGAUGCGCGUGUCAAAAUUGAUGGCCUAUCGAAGCAACGCCGCUCAAAUCACCAUCAUGCGAAUCGGAGAAAUCCAGUGAAAGUUUACUGAACAGUUUCACGGCUCACACUAUCGGCACGGUUUGGCGAAAUGGUCCAGUGGAGUUGCGAUCUGAUCCACCCAGGACAUGCGCAUCAAAGAAGAAAUCGAAGAUGCUCUACCGGUACGGUAUGGAUAUUCCCUUGCGUCGGCUGUUCUUCACCAAAGAAUAAUUGAUGACGACCGGUCACAGUUGCCUAUCUUCGUGGGACGAUUUUAAUACGAGUAAUACAAGGGACGCAGCUGAGUGAUCUCGAUCUAGUGGGAGAAAUGAUUGCACAAAUAAAGGAGUGAAGCAGGAGCGCUUUUAGCGAACAGUGAGUACGGUCGCAGUUGAAUUAACGCCGUAAGGUUCCUUUAUCUUAGCGAUUGUUAAUAGACAAUUUCAAUAAUUGAAUUAUUACUUGUUUUGAACUUGAAUCAUUCCGUGGUUCUGUCGAAGAAUCCGAGAGAAUUUAUAAAUUUUCGAGAGGGGAACAUAUUGCAUUAUUUAUGUAUUCAAAUGAAUAAUAUGUUUAUAUAAAUAAAUAACAAAACUAAUUAAAUGUGUUAUGUGAAUUAAUCGAAAGGAAGGCCACAGGUAGGACAAGCUCUGACUACUGGAAAGAAUGUCUCAUGGACUCCUCCAAUCACAGCAAGUAUAAUUCUAGACCAACAUUUGAAAAGGGCGGAAGAGCCAAAAUGUAAACAAAUCACUUUUCAGCAUAAUUUGAUGAAACAACUCAUAAACUUAUGAUUUUUCCUGACGUUAGCUCAAAAAUGAGUUUCCACUUCUGGAAAACAAUAAUUUAAAUAAAGGCGGAUUUCCACAUCUGAUUUUGAUCACUUCGUUUGGUUGUUCCGCCAAUGAUCUUGCGCCUUUGAAAAAAAGCACAAAAAUGCACAAAAUUGUUAACACUGUUGAAUAAACAGUCGAGAACAGCAUCUCGCCAUUCAUAUUAAUCAAAUUUACCCAAAACUUUUACUCCCACUUUUGAUUAAGGCCCCUUAGCGUGUCAUCGCAAAAUGGCUUCUUCAAAAUCAUUGACCGAAAUCAACUUUACACAACAUUGCACCAAUACAUAUUUGUAAAAAAUCGACACUUAUCUUAUUUUAUAAAAUAAUCAAUUUCACGCGAGAUAUUCGACAUAAAAAUGUAUUCACACUACUUCAAAUACAAGCCUCUUUCCAAGUAAUCACGAUUACUAAGCAUUAGUUCACUCGAAAGUAGAAAUUUUUAACGAUUUGUUUCGACCGCACUAAACUGUGGUUGGCGGUGUUUACCACCCACCGCAGUACCAACGACGACGACGGCAGCGCGGUGAUGUCUUUUGGCGCGCACAAUCAUCGAUCAUUGCACGCAGUGAUGUCGAUCCUGCUGGCCAAAGCAUCAAUGAAAAUGAUCGAAAUCAAUUAAAAAAUCCAGUCAAACACAUUGGUUAUGCGUCAUAAAAUCAAAAAUAAUUUGUGGGGUGAUUAUUUUUAAACUUUUUUAACACAAUUGUUAGUGAAAUAAGCAAAGCAUUAUAAUUUACGGAAUCUUCACCAGGCGGUCCGCCAGCACUGCUGUUGCAGCAAACAUAAACAGUGAGAGAGUGUACCAAAAUAAUUCGAUCAUUUCUAGCUUGUUACAUAAAAAAUCUAACAUUUUUCGUGAUAUCUGGAUAUGUUUCCUUGUUAUUCAUUGAAGUAGAGUAGUUUACUGCCUGAGUUGCUUUCAAAUGAUUCAUAUUCUCGAAAUGUUUACAUUGGAAGUACCGAGACAAAGAGGUGCUAUUUUUGUUUGUUUGUUUAUGGAAUUGGUAUAGAAAGGCUACACAACUACUAUCGUGCUUGAUGAUUGUUUGGAAUAAGAAUCAAAUAAGAAGAGCAAAAUUUGAGCUGACACGCUAAGGGGCCUUAAGCCUAGUACUCAGAUGGCAAGAAAUGAGGUCAAGGAAAAAAGUGCAUUUUUACCAAAGUAAUUUUGACAGUCGAUCUUGAGAGAAAAAAAAGAAAAAAAUCGACGAAACUCUUUGUUUACCAAUCUGACUGACUUGGAAUGAAACCGGGACAAUCGGCAAGAACAAGCGAACUCCCCUACCAGGAGCAGGCAUGAAUCUACUGAUCUGGACGGCAGCAAACUGGAAGAUUGACCAGCAAUCCGAGGCGCUCCAGCUCUAUUUGACCGGUGAUAAUCUGAGCGGGCCAACUAGCUGUUUGCUGCAACCGGACACGAUAAGUUUUUGAAAACAUCUAGCUGCUGGAAAAUGUCCCGACAUCCGAUACAGCGGUAGAUUCCGGCAACAGCUCACGGCAGAGUUCCUGUGAUUGCUCCUUUGAUCACCAUCGGGAAGUUAUGAUUAGAUUCUGGCAGAAAUUUUAAGUAAUAGAAAUUUAACAGCAGCUGCGGCCGGCAUGUUGUUUACAUCUCGUACACAACCCGCGAACAGUGCGAGCCUGUCAAGUCACUGAAAUGUCACUUUAACUUGCGGAAUAAUUGGUCAGGCUAUUAUUCCCACAAGGAAAAAGUGACAACUGGUUUGAUCGACACAAUCAUCACCAUCAUCAUUGAUCAUCAAGUUCGUCGAUUUUUCCGUUCCAGCUGAGUACCGCUCAAGAAAUUUCGACAGAAAAUCGUUUCUUGACCGUUUCUUGUCCUAUCUUUUUACACAGUACUUACGAAGUGAGUAUCACCCCUUAAGCCUAGUACUCAGAUGGCAAGAAAUGAGGUCAAGGAAAAAAGUGCAUUUUUACCAAAGUAAUUUUGACAGUCGAUCUUGAGAGAAAAAAAAGAAAAAAAUCGACGAAACUCUUUGUUUACCAAUCUGACUGACUUGGAAUGAAACCGGGACAAUCGGCAAGAACAAGCGAACUCCCCUACCAGGAGCAGGCAUGAAUCUACUGAUCUGGACGGCAGCAAACUGGAAGAUUGACCAGCAAUCCGAGGCGCUCCAGCUCUAUUUGACCGGUGAUAAUCUGAGCGGGCCAACUAGCUGUUUGCUGCAACCGGACACGAUAAGUUUUUGAAAACAUCUAGCUGCUGGAAAAUGGUAUGAUUUCGAUUUUGAAAAGGAAAUGCUUCGGGUAUUCAGGAAAUCCACCGGCGCUUCCUCCAAGGAUUCCUAAGGAGUUCCUCCAGGAAUUCCGUCGAGGAUUCCUCCAGAAAUUUCUUCGGUGAUUCCUCCAGCAAUUUGUGUAGAAAUAACUCCAGGAUAUCCUCCGGAGAUUCAUCUUUAAAGUCCUGCUAGAAU